CUGAAAGAGAUGGUGUCAUCGCU
rnacentral:piRNA from 1 species